rnacentral:SRP_RNA from 1 species
GCUGGGCAUGGUGGUGCACGCCUGUAAUCCCAGCUACUCGGGAGGCUGAGGCAGGAGAAUUGCUUGAACCAGGGAGUCGGAGGUUGCAGUGAGCUGAGAUCACGCCACUGCACUCCAGCCUGGUGACAGAGCGAGACUCUGUCUCAA